UGCAGUCGAGCGAAUGGAUUAAGAGCUUGCUCUUAUGAAGUUAGCGGCGGACGGGUGAGUAACACGUGGGUAACCUGCCCAUAAGACUGGGAUAACUCCGGGAAACCGGGGCUAAUACCGGAUAACAUUUUGAACUGCAUGGUUCGAAAUUGAAAGGCGGCUUCGGCUGUCACUUAUGGAUGGACCCGCGUCGCAUUAGCUAGUUGGUGAGGUAACGGCUCACCAAGGCAACGAUGCGUAGCCGACCUGAGAGGGUGAUCGGCCACACUGGGACUGAGACACGGCCCAGACUCCUACGGGAGGCAGCAGUAGGGAAUCUUCCGCAAUGGACGAAAGUCUGACGGAGCAACGCCGCGUGAGUGAUGAAGGCUUUCGGGUCGUAAAACUCUGUUGUUAGGGAAGAAUAAGUGCUAGUUGAAUAAGCUGGCACCUUGACGGUACCUAACCAGAAAGCCACGGCUAACUACGUGCCAGCAGCCGCGGUAAUACGUAGGUGGCAAGCGUUAUCCGGAAUUAUUGGGCGUAAAGCGCGCGCAGGUGGUUUCUUAAGUCUGAUGUGAAAGCCCACGGCYCAACCGUGGAGGGUCAUUGGAAACUGGGAGACUUGAGUGCAGAAGARGAAAGUGGAAUUCCAUGUGUAGCGGUGAAAUGCGUAGAGAUAUGGAGGAACACCAGUGGCGAANGCGACUUUCUGGUCUGUAACUGACACUGANGCGCGAAAGCGUGGGGAGCAAACARGAUUAGAUACCCUGGUAGUCCACGCCGUAAACGAUGAGUGCUAAGUGUUAGANGGUUUCCGCCCUUUANNGCUGAANUUAACGCAUUAAGCACUCCGNCUGGG
rnacentral:rRNA from 1 species